GUCCACGCCGUAAACGAUGGGUGCUAGGUGUGGGGGGUGUCAACUCCCUCCGUGCCGAAGCUAACGCAUUAAGCACCCCGCCUGGGGAGUACGGCCGCAAGGCUAAAACUCAAAGGAAUUGACGGGGGCCCGCACAAGCAGCGGAGCAUGUUGUUUAAUUCGACGCGACGCGAAGAACCUUACCAAGGCUUGACAUGCACGGGAAUGUCGUGGAAACACGGCAGCCCUUCGGGGCUCGUGCACAGGUGGUGCAUGGCUGUCGU
rnacentral:rRNA from 1 species